UACGUAGGGUGCAAGCGUUGUCCGGAAUUAUUGGGCGUAAAGCGCGUGUAGGCGGUUGUUCAAGUCAGGUGUGAAAGCCUUGAGCUCAACUCAAGAAAUGCACUUGAUACUGGAUGACUAGAGGACCGGAGAGGAUAGUGGAAUUCCCAGUGUAGUGGUGAAAUACGUAGAGAUUGGGAAGAACACCAGUGGCGAAGGCGGCUAUCUGGACGGUUUCUGACGCUAAGACGCGAAAGCGUGGGGAGCAAACAGG
rnacentral:rRNA from 1 species